UACGAAGGGUGCAAGCGUUACUCGGAAUUACUGGGCGUAAAGCGUGCGUAGGUGGUUUGUUAAGUCUGUUGUGAAAGCCCCGGGCUCAACCUGGGAAUGGCAAUGGAUACUGGCAGGCUAGAGUGCGGUAGAGGGUAGUGGAAUUCCCGGUGUAGCGGUGAAAUGCGUAGAGAUCGGGAAGAACACCAGUGGCGUAGGCGACUAACUGGGCCAUAACUGACGCUGAGGAACGAAAGCCAGGGGAGCGAAUGGG
rnacentral:rRNA from 1 species